UGAACGCUAGCGGCAGGCUUAAUACAUGCAAGUCGAACGGUAACAGGUCUUCGGACGCUGACGAGUGGCGCACGGGUGAGGAACACGUACACAAUCUACCUUAUACUGGAGAAUAGCCCCGGGAAACUGGGAUUAAUACUCCAUAGUCUUUAAUGAUCACAUGAGAAAUAAAGUAAAGCUUCGGCGGUAUAAGAUGAGUGUGCGUCCCAUUAGAUUGUUGGUGAGGUAACGGCUCACCAAGUCGACGAUGGGCAGCUGGCGUGAGAGCGCGACCAGCCACACUGGCACUGAGACACGGGCCAGACUCCUACGGGAGGCAGCAGUAGGGAAUAUUGGUCAAUGGACGAAAGUCUGAACCAGCCAUGCCGCGUGGAGGAUGACUGCCCUCUGGGUUGUAAACUCCUUUUAUAUGGGAAGAAACCUCUGGAUUCACUCCAGAGCUGACGGUAUCAUAUGAAUAAGCACCGGCUAACUCCGUG
rnacentral:rRNA from 1 species